GGUGCUUGCACCGGGUGGAUGAGUGGCGAACGGGUGAGUAACACGUGAGUAACCUGCCCCCGAUUUCGGGAUAAGCCCGGGAAACUGGGUCUAAUACCGGAUAUGACCAGAGGACGCAUGUUCUGUGGUGGAAAGUUUUUCGAUCGGGGAUGGGCUCGCGGCCUAUCAGCUUGUUGGUGGGGUAAUGGCCUACCAAGGCGACGACGGGUAGCCGGCCUGAGAGGGCGACCGGCCACACUGGGACUGAGACACGGCCCAGACUCCUACGGGAGGCAGCAGUGGGGAAUAUUGCACAAUGGGGGAAACCCUGAUGCAGCGACGCAGCGUGCGGGAUGACGGCCUUCGGGUUGUAAACCGCUUUCAGCAGGGAAGAAGCGAAAGUGACGGUACCUGCAGAAGAAGUACCGGCUAACUACGUGCCAGCAGCCGCGGUAAUACGUAGGGUACGAGCGUUGUCCGGAAUUAUUGGGCGUAAAGAGCUCGUAGGUGGUUGGUCACGUCUGCUGUGGAAACGCAACGCUUAACGUUGCGCGGGCAGUGGGUACGGGCUGACUAGAGUGCAGUAGGGGAGUCUGGAAUUCCUGGUGUAGCGGUGAAAUGCGCAGAUAUCAGGAGGAACACCGGUGGCGAAGGCGGGACUCUGGGCUGUAACUGACACUGAGGAGCGAAAGCAUGGGGAGCGAACAGGAUUAGAUACCCUGGUAGUCCAUGCCGUAAACGUUGGGCACUAGGUGUGGGGGACAUUCCAC
rnacentral:rRNA from 1 species